GACGAACGCUGGCGGCAUGCCUAACACAUGCAAGUCGAGCGGAGCUGCGGACGGGCGAGUAAUUCCUAGGAAUCUGCCUUGCCGUGGGGGAUAACGUCCGGCAACGGGCGCUAAUACCGCAUCCUAUCAGAUGAGCCUAGGUCGGAUUAGCUAGGUGGUGGGGUAAAGGCCUACCAAGGCGACGAGCCGUAACUGGUCUGAGAGGAUGAUCAGUCACACUGGAACUGAGAAACGGUACAGACUCCAACGGGAGGCAGCAGUGGGGAAUAGUGCACAAUGGGGGAAAGCCUGAUGCAGCCAUGCGGCGUGUGUGAAGAAGGCUUACGGGUUGUAAAGCACUUUCAGCGAGGAGGCGUUACUCGCAGAAGAAGCACCGGCUAACUCCGUGCCAGCAGCCGCGGUAAUAC
rnacentral:rRNA from 1 species